rfam:Triticum aestivum genome assembly, contig: Triticum_aestivum_CS42_TGACv1_scaffold_049349_1BS
CAAAUACUCCCUCCGUUCGGAAAUACUUGUCAUCAAAAUGGAUAAAAGGAAAUGUAUCUCUUUUUAUCCAUUUUGAUGACAAGUAUUUUUGGACGGAGGGAGUAGAAA